rnacentral:rRNA from 1 species
AGAGUUUGAUCCUGGCUCAGAACGAACGCUGGCGGCGUGCUUAACACAUGCAAGUCGAACGAGAAAGCUUCCUUCGGGAAGUAAGUAGAGUGGCGCACGGGUGAGUAACGCGUAGGUAAUCUACCCUUAUGACUGGGAUAACAUUGGGAAACUGGUGCUAAUACCGGAUACACUUCUUUACUGCGGGGUAAAGGAGGAAAGGUGGCCUCUUCAUGAAAGCUACCGUAUAGGGAUGAGCCUGCGUACCAUUAGCUAGUAGGCGGGGUAACGGCCCACCUAGGCAACGAUGGUUAGCGGGUCUGAGAGGAUGAUCCGCCACACUGGAACUGGAACACGGACCAGACUCCUACGGGAGGCAGCAGUGAGGAAUAUUGCGCAAUGGGGGAAACCCUGACGCAGCGACGCCGCGUGAGUGAGGAAGGUUUUCGGAUCGUAAAGCUCUGUCAGAAGGGAAGAAGUGUUAUAUGUUUAAUACGCAUAUAAUUUGACGGUACCUUCAGAGGAAGCACCGGCUAACUCCGUGCCAGCAGCCGCGGUAAUACGGAGGGUGCAAGCGUUGUUCGGAAUUACUGGGCGUAAAGGGCGCGUAGGCGGCUGGAUAAGUCAGAUGUGAAAGUCCAUGGCUCAACUGUGGAAGUGCAUUUGAAACUGUCCGGCUUGAGUAUCGGAGGGGAGUGUGGAAUUCCCGGUGUAGAGGUGAAAUUCGUAGAGAUCGGGAGGAACACCGGUGGCGAAGGCGACACUCUGGACGAAUACUGACGCUGAGGCGCGAAAGCGUGGGGAGCAAACAGGAUUAGAUACCCUGGUAGUCCACGCCGUAAACGAUGUGAACUAGGGAUAGGGGGUGUUGAUCCCUCCUGUCCCGCAGCUAACGCAUUAAGUUCACCGCUUGGGGAGUACGGUCGCAAGAUUAAACUCAAGGAUUGACGGGG